rnacentral:lncRNA from 1 species
CUGGAAUGCCAUCUGGUAAAAGUUUCUACAUAAUGUACUAGUCAUCAUUCAGUAUGCCACUGUUCCUGUCUUGGUAAUUGAAUCAUCAUCUACUCAGUAAUUCAAGCCAGAGAUUGUCUUAAGCUGGCAUCUAAGAAGUCGGACUGCCUUUAUGGAGAUAUCAUGGAGAAAGACCACAUGAAGAAUCAAGACUUUGAAACUACAUUAAGAGAGAGAGAAGCCCAGCCAUCUCAGCUGACCCCAGCCUACAAGACAUCCACCACCUAAGUGACAGACAGCUUCAAUAUUCCAGCCUUGUUGAGCUGCCCAAUGACUGCAUUAAGGGCUGACAUCAUAUGGACCAGAAGAACCACCGAACUGAACAGUCAAUCAUACAAUCAUGAAAGAUAAUAAAAUGAUUAUUUUGUCAGUAA